CUAGUAGCUGGUUCCCUCCGAA
rnacentral:ncRNA from 3 species